rnacentral:lncRNA from 1 species
UAAGAAUCCACAAUUCAAAUUGAAACUUAAAAUUUAAAAACAGUACAAUGUCUGUGAACAUUUUAUGAAACAGGACAGACUUCUAAGGUCUAAGAAAAAUUGAGAUUAAGUACAUCUACAACCAUACGAACAGUUCAUAAUUCAGAAAUUAAUAUCAACCUACACAUCUGAACUUCGCCUUACAGGUAUAACCAAAAUUACCUCGCGAUUUGGUUUGCGAGAGGGGGUUUGAGAGAGAUUCACGAGUUUACUACACUCAAAUCUCCCAAAGGUUAUAAUUGGGGGUCAACAAACGAUAUUUCUAUAAAUCAAUAACUACAAAAAACAUAUGCUCAGAACCCUAGAUUUCUUUCAAAUCAAAUUGAAAUUACAAGAUUCAUAUGCUCAGAAUCUUUACCUCUCUGUUUACAACAAGUUUUUUCCUUCCGGUUUGUUUCAGACUCGCUUUGACAGAAAGGGAAUUUGUGGAAAAAAUGCUAAGAUUGCUCAGAAUCAGAGAGAGAGAAUCAGUAGAAUUUGGGGAGAGAGCAUCGAGGAGAGAGAGAGGGGGAAAAAUGGAAAGAAUAUGAUGUUUUAACCCACCUCAUGAUUUCCCCCUUUUUUUGUGACCCGCCUCUUGUUUUGUGAC